rnacentral:tRNA from 1 species
GUCCUCUUCGUCUAGUGGUUAGGACAGCGCUCUUUCAAGGCGUAAACGCGGGUUCAAUUCCCGCAGGGGAUAC